rnacentral:piRNA from 1 species
UGUCAAACGAUUUGCCAGCUCAGAAGCCCA